AAUUUGAUCUUGGUUCAGGAUGAACGCUAGCGGCAGGCUUAACACAUGCAAGUCGAGGGGCAGCGCGAGUAGCAAUACUUGGCGGCGACCGGCGCAAGGGUGCGUAACGCGUGAGCAACAUGCCCGUAUCAGGGGGAUAAUCCAGGGAAACUUGGUCUAAUACCCCAUAGUAAUUUUUGUAAGGCAUCUUAUAAGAUUUAAAGCUUUGGUGGAUACGGAUUGGCUCGCGUGACAUUAGCUGGAUGGUAAGGUAACGGCUUACCAUGGCUAUGAUGUCUAGGGGUUCUGAGAGGAAGGUCCCCCACACUGGAACUGAGACACGGUCCAGACUCCUACGGGAGGCAGCAGUGAGGAAUAUUGGACAAUGGAUGGAAAUCUGAUCCAGCCAUGCCGCGUGAAAAGGAAGAAGGUCCUAUGGAUUGUAAACUUCUUUUGUAUGGGAGCAAUAAGGCCUACGAGUAGGUUGAUGAGAGUACCAUACGAAUAAGCACCGGCUAACUCCGUGCCAGCCGCCGC
rnacentral:rRNA from 1 species